CUGAUAAGGUUCCUGUCGAAAACUAACACAAAUUCUGUCGAGUUCUUUUGCUUCGAUUUUAAGUUGCACCUCACAAUGAAUCAACAUCACUAGAGGUGUACAUAUGAUAAAGGGAGACUCAAGGGCGUGAGGACGAAGAAGGCAACGCCAUAGCCGCCAAAACAACAGCAGGGAGGACCACCGGAGCCGACGAAGAAUGAGGCAGCACCGUAAGAGCACUAGUGGUGAUGGAAGCUUGUUUGAGAAGCUUCUAUGGAGGUUGGAUAUUUGAGUUUCAAUAAGGUCCUUCAAUGGUG
rnacentral:lncRNA from 1 species